AACGAACGCUGGCGGCAGGCCUAACACGUGCAAGUCGAACGCCGUAGCAAUACGGAGUGGCAGACGGGUGAGUAACGCGUGGGAACAUACCCCUCGGUUCGGAAUAACUCAGGGAAACUUGAGCUAAUACCGGAUACGUCCGAGGUUUUAAUCGACCUUGGAGAAAGAUUUAUCGCCGGAGGAUUGGCCCGCGUCUGAUUAGCUUGUUGGUGAGGUAAUGGCUCACCAAGGCGACGAUCAGUAGCUGGUCUGAGAGGAUGAUCAGCCACAUUGGGACUGAGACACGGCCCAAACUCCUACGGGAGGCAGCAGUGGGGAAUAUUGGACAAUGGGCGAAAGCCUGAUCCAGCCAUGCCGCGUGAGUGAUGAAGGCCUUAGGGUUGUAAAGCUCUUUUGCCCGGGAAGAUAAUGACGGUACCGGGAGAAUAAGCCCCGGCUAACUUCGUGCCAGCCGCCGCGGUAAC
rnacentral:rRNA from 1 species